GUUAGGAAUAUUGGACAAUGGGCGCAAGCCUGAUCCAGCCAUGCCGCGUGAACGAUGAAGGCCUUCGGGUUGUAAAGUUCUUUAUCCGAUGAUUAUAAUGACUGUAGUCGGAAAAUAAGCCCCGGCUAACUUCGUGCCAGCAGCCGCGGUAAUACGAAGGGGGCGAGCGUUAUUCGGAAUCACUGGGCGUAAAGCGUGCGUAGGCGGUUUUGUAAGUUAGGAGUGAAAGCCCAGGGCUCAACCUUGGAAUUGCUCUUAAAACUGCAAGGCUCGAAUCUCGGAGAGGAUAGCGGAAUUUCCAGUGUAGCAGUGAAAUGCGUAGAUAUUGGAAGGAACACCAGUGGCGUAAGCGGCUAUCUGGACGAGUAUUGACGCUGAGGCACGAAAGCGUGGGGAUCAAACAGGAUUAGAUACCCUAGUAGUCC
rnacentral:rRNA from 1 species